UACAGAGGGUGCGAGCGUUAAUCGGAAUUACUGGGCGUAAAGCGUGCGUAGAUGGUUAUAUAAGUCGGGUGUGAAAGCCCCGGGCUCAACCUGGGAAUUGCAUUCGAGACUGCAUAGCUAGGGUGCGGAAGAGGGAAGUGGAAUUUCCGGUGUAGCGGUGAAAUGCGUAGAUAUCGGAAGGAACAUCAGUGGCGAAAGCGGCUUCCUGGUCCAGCACCGACGUUCAGGCACGAAAGCGUGGGGAGCAAACAGG
rnacentral:rRNA from 1 species